UACAGAGGUCUCAAGCGUUGUUCGGAUUCAUUGGGCGUAAAGGGUGCGUAGGUGGCGCCGUAAGUCGGGUGUGAAAUUUCGGAGCUUAACUCCGAAACUGCAUUCGAUACUGCGGUGCUUGAGGACUGGAGAGGAGACUGGAAUUCAUGGUGUAGCAGUGAAAUGCGUAGAGAUCAUGAGGAAGACCAGUGGCGAAGGCGGGUCUCUGGACAGUUCCUGACACUGAGGCGCGAAAGCGUGGGGAGCAAACGGG
rnacentral:rRNA from 1 species